rnacentral:tRNA from 1 species
AGGCACGUAGCUCAGGGGGAUGAGCGCUACCUUGACACGGUAGAAGUCGUUGGUUCAAAUCCAAUCGUGCCUA